AACGCUGGCGGCGUGGAUUAGGCAUGCAAGUCGAACGGGACUCUUUGGGUAGCAAUAUCACGAGAGUUCAGUGGCGAAAGGGUGAGUAACGCGCGGGCAAUCUACCUCGAAGUUGGGAAUAGCUCGGGGAAACCUGGGAUAAUUCCGAAUGUGGUCGCUUCCGGCAUCGGGAGCUGUCUAAAGCUGGGGACCGCAAGGCCUGGCGCUACGAGAUGAGCCCACGUCCUAUCAGCUUGUUGGUGAGGUAACGGCUCACCAAGGCUUACGGGUAGCUGGUCUGAGAGGAUGGUCAGCCACACUGGGACUGAGACACUGCCCAGACUCCUACGGGAGGCUGCAGUCGAGAAUCAUUCGCAAUGGGCGCAAGCCUGACGAUGCGACGCCGCGUGCAGGAUGAAGGCCUCGG
rnacentral:rRNA from 1 species